rnacentral:rRNA from 1 species
GUGGCGGAUGGGCAUGCGCGCCAUUAGCUAGUCGGCGGGUAAACGGCCCACCGAGGCGACGAUGCGUAGGGGUUCUGAGAGGAAGGUCCCCCACACUGGUACUGAGACACGGACCAGACUCCUACGGGAGGCAGCAGUGAGGAAUAUUGGUCAAUGGGCGCGAGCCUGAACCAGCCAAGUCGCGUGAGGGAUGACGGUCCUACGGAUUGUAAACCUCUUUUGCCGGGGAGCAAGCGUGCGUUCGUGAACGCGCGUCGAGAGUACCCGGAGAAAAAGCAUCGGCUAACUCCGUGCCAGCAGCCGCGGUAAUACGGAGGAUGCGAGCGUUAUCCGGAUUUAUUGGGUUUAAAGGGUGCGUAGGCGGGAUGCCAAGUCAGCGGUAAAAAUGCGGUGCUCAACGCCGUCGAGCCGUUGAAACUGGCGUUCUUGAGUGGGCGAGAAGUAUGCGGAAUGCGUGGUGUAGCGGUGAAAUGCAUAGAUAUCACGCAGAACUCCGAUUGCGAAGGCAGCAUACCGGCGCCCUACUGACGCUGAGGCACGAAAGCGUGGGUAUCGAACAGGAUUAGAUACCCUGGUAGUCCACGCAGUAAACGAUGAAUGCUAACUGUCCGGCUCGAAUGAGCGCUGG